rnacentral:rRNA from 1 species
AGCGGCGGACGGGUGAGUAACGCGUGGGUAACCGUGCCUCAUACAGGGGAGUAACAGUUGGAAACGGCUGCUAAUACCGCAUAAGCGCACAGUACCGCAUGGUACGGUGUGAAAAACUCCGGUGGUAUGAGAUGGACCCGCGUCUGAUUAGGUAGUUGGUGGGGUAACGGCCUACCAAGCCGACGAUCAGUAGCCGACCUGAGAGGGUGACCGGCCACAUUGGGACUGAGACACGGCCCAA